UGUUCGGGUUGUCAUGCCAAUGGCACUGCCCGGUAGCUAAAUGCGGAAGAGAUACGUGCUGAAAGCAUCUAAGCACGAAACUUGCCCCGAGAUGAGUUCUCCCUGAGACUUUAAGUCUCCUGAAGGAACGUUGAAGACGACGACGUUGAUAGGUCGGGUGUGUAAGCGCAGCGAUGCGUUGAGCUAACCGAUACUAAUGAACCGUGAGGCUUAACCUUACAACGCCGAAGG
rnacentral:rRNA from 1 species